rnacentral:rRNA from 1 species
CCUACGGGUGGCUGCAGUGGGGAAUAUUGGACAAUGGGCGAAAGCCUGAUCCAGCCAUGCCGCGUGUGUGAAGAAGGCCUUCGGGUUGUAAAGCACUUUCAGUGGGGAAGAAAGCCUUGGGGCUAAUACCCUCGAGGAAGGACAUCACCCACAGAAGAAGCACCGGCUAACUCCGUGCCAGCAGCCGCGGUAAUACGGAGGGUGCGAGCGUUAAUCGGAAUUACUGGGCGUAAAGCGCGCGUAGGCGGUCUGAUAAGCCGGUUGUGAAAGCCCCGGGCUCAACCUGGGAACGGCAUCCGGAACUGUCAGGCUAGAGUGCAGGAGAGGAAGGUAGAAUUCCCGGUGUAGCGGUGAAAGGCGUAGAGAUCGGGAGGAAUACCAGUGGCGAAGGCGGCCUUCUGGACUGACACUGACGCUGAGGUGCGAAAGCGUGGGUAGCAAACAGGAUUAGAUACCCUAGUAGC